AUGAUAAGCUGAGACGGGGUCAAUGAGCGAUCAAGAAGGCUCGUGGCCUAGUUUGGUGACUUCCAUUGCACCUAGGAAGGUCGCCAAGCUAAGGUCUGCCCAAGUGGUAGUGCCUAUGUCCCAAUUUUUUGUUGCGGGGGCUGCGUUUGCUUGGCCCUCU